rnacentral:rRNA from 1 species
UACGUAGGGGGCAAGCGUUGUCCGGAAUCAUUGGGCGUAAAGAGCGCGUAGGCGGUCCGGUAAGUCAGCUGUGAAAGUCGGGGGCUCAACCCCCGGAGGCCGGUUGAUACUGCCGGGCUAGAGUCCGGAAGAGGCGAGUGGAAUUCCUGGUGUAGCGGUGAAAUGCGCAGAUAUCAGGAGGAACACCAAUGGCGAAGGCAGCUCGCUGGGACGGUACUGACGCUGAGACGCGAAAGCGUGGGGAGCGAACAGG